AACCCAUGUUAAGUACAUUUUUGUAGGAGUUCCUUGAACCUUUCCCAUGUCUCAAAUAGAGACUCAAAUUCCAUUUGCACAAAGGAUGAAAUUUUAUUCCUAAGCUU